AAAUUGAAGAGUUUGAUCAUGGCUCAGAUUGAACGCUGGCGGCAGGCCUAACACAUGCAAGUCGAACGGUAACAGAAAGCAGCUUGCUGCUUUGCUGACGAGUGGCGGACGGGUGAGUAAUGUCUGGGAAACUGCCUGAUGGAGGGGGAUAACUACUGGAAACGGU
rnacentral:rRNA from 2 species